rfam:Triticum urartu cultivar G1812 contig21983, whole genome shotgun sequence.
AUGCUACUCCCUCCGCCUGGAAAUACUUGUCAUCAAAAUGGAUAAAAGGGGAUGUAUCUAGACGUAUUUUAGUUCUAGAUACAUCUUUUUUUGUCCAUUUUGAUGACAAGUAUUUUCGGACGGAGGGAGUACUUU